rnacentral:rRNA from 1 species
UAGGAGCCCCGGGGGGCCGCAGAGAAAUGGCCCAGGCGACUGUUUAGCAAAAACACAGCACUAUGCAAACCUCUAAGGGGAAGUAUAUGGUGUGACGCCUGCCCAAUGCCAAAAGGUUAAAGGGAUAUGUCAGCUGCAAAGCGAAGCAUUGAACCUAAGCCCUGGUGAAUGGCCGCCGUAACUAUAACGGUGCUAAGGUAGCGAAAUUCCUUGUCGGGUAAGUUCCGACCUGCACGAAUGGUGUAACGAUCUGGGCACUGUCUCAACGAAAGACUCGGUGAAAUUGUAGUAGCAGUGAAGAUGCUGUUUACCCGCGAAAGGACGAAAAGACCCCGUGAACCUUUACUGUACUUUGGUAUUGAUUUUUGGUUUGUUAUGUGUAGGAUAGCCAGGAGACUAGGAACACUCUUCUUCAGGAGAGUGGGAGUCAACGUUGAAAUACUGGUCUUAACAAGCUGGGAAUCUAACAUUAUUCCAUGAAUCUGGAAGAUGGACAUUGCCAGACGGGCAGUUUUACUGGGGCGGUAUCCUCCUAAAAAGUAACGGAGGAGCCCAAAGCUUAUUUCAUCGUGGUUGGCAAUCACGAGUAGAGCGUAAAGGUAUAAGAUAGGUUGACUGCAAGACCAACAAGUCGAGCAGAGACGAAAGUCGGGCUUAGUGAUCCGGCGGUGGAAAGUGGAAUCGCCGUCGCUUAACGGAUAAAAGGUACUCCGGGGAUAACAGGCUGAUCGCCACCAAGAGUUCAUAUCGACGUGGCGGUUUGGCACCUCGAUGUCGGCUCAUCGCAUCCUGGGGCUGGAGAAGGUCCCAAGGGUUUGGCUGUUCGCCAAUUAAAGCGGUACGCGAGCUGGGUUCAAAACGUCGUGAGACAGUUUGGUCUCUAUCCUUCGUGGGCGCAGGAUACUUGAGAGGAGCUGUUCCUAGUACGAGAGGACCGGAAUGGACGAACCAAUGGUGUGUCGGUUGUUUUGCCAAGAGCAUAGCCGAGUAGCUACGUUCGGAAAGGAUAAGCAUUGAAAGCAUCUAAAUGCCA